GAUGAACGCUGGCGGCGUGCCUAAUACAUGCAAGUCGAGCGAACAGACGAGGAGCUUGCUCCUCUGACGUUAGCGGCGGACGGGUGAGUAACACGUGGAUAACCUACCUAUAAGACUGGGAUAACUUCGGGAAACCGGAGCUAAUACCGGAUAAUAUAUUGAACCGCAUGGUUCAAUAGUGAAAGACGGUUUUGCUGUCACUUAUAGAUGGAUCCGCGCCGCAUUAGCUAGUUGGUAAGGUAACGGCUUACCAAGGCGACGAUGCGUAGCCGACCUGCGAGGGUGCUCAGCCACACUGGAACUUAGACACGGUCCAGACUCCUACGGGGGGCGGCAGUAGGGACUCUUCCGCAAUGGGCGACAGCCUGACGGAGCAACGCCGCGUGAGUGAUGAAGGUCUUCGGAUCGUACAACUCUGUUAUUAGGGAAGAACAAAUGUGUAAGUAACUAUGCACGUCUUGACGGUACCUCAUCAGAAAGCCACGGCUAACUACGUG
rnacentral:rRNA from 1 species